rnacentral:siRNA from 1 species
UCAAAGCAAGCCUACGCUCUGG